GAGCAGCGCUGGGAAAGAGCGGAUCACCGUUUGGAGACUCGAGCCUGGACUGAGCGGCCCGAGCCGGCGCUCCAGCCCAUAGCCAGCACUGCAGCACUCACUGCAGGACCUUCUGCAGGACCUACAGCAGGACUUACAGCAGGACUUACUGGAUAUAACCUCUCAAACACGCGCUUUAACAUGGACUACAUUCUUCACCUGAAAUUUUUUAUUUUCUUUUAAUUACAUUUAUUUAUUGUUAUGCAAGGAUUUAACAUACCAAAAAGAUGAUUGGGGGCUGCAGCUCGUGCUGGAGAUGCGAGGUUUUGUGUGGGGAUUAUAGCUGUGUGUGCUGAGCGGUUGGUCGGCCGGUUGUUUGGAGCUGUAGCGGGAUGGAGGGGAGGGAGUUCGCCGCUCCGGCUCACCUGCUGUCAGAGCGGGGCGCCCUGGUGCACCGCGCCGCCUCGCGGAUCUCCUCCUCCGGACACGGAUCCGUGCAGCACGCGGGGCCCUUUCCCCCCGGGAAAUACUACCCCUCACCUCACCUGCCCAUGCCCACACACUCAGGCAGCGGACUGAUGGGUAAUUCUUCAGCCUCCUUCAUGGGGACGUUUCUGGCCAGCAGUCUGGGCUCCCCUCCCUCACACCCGCCUCACCCUUCCAGGCCACCGUCCUCCCCGUCUUCUCCUCCCUACCGCGGGGGUCCACACUCCAGCGCCUCCCAGAUCUGGUUCCCACAUUCACAUGAAGCAGCCCCAGGGUACCCUCGCUUCUCAGGGAGUCUGGCCCACACAUUCCUUCCCAUAAGCCAUUUGGAUCAUCAUGCCAACAGUGGGGUCCUCUACGGGCAGCACCGCUUCUAUGACACCCAAAAAGAGAAUUUCUAUCUAAGAAGCCUUCCAUCCCAGCCUCCGCUCAUCUCAGCAAAUCACGGCAUCCCACCCAUGUCGAGGACGGGGCCCGGGCACCCCCAGGGCUCCUGCAGUAGAGACGCAGGAGGUGGGAUGAACUUGCACAAGGGCCUCAAGGAUGCCGGCAUCGACCGAGGCGUAGUCUCGGGCACUAAGGACAACAAGGAAAGGCCGAGCAGCAAGCAGGAGGCUAAAGAUCGGCAUGCGCACAACCAUCAUCCGCAGCCUCAGCAGCAACAGCAGCACCACCACCCUCAACAACUAGCUCAGCACCAUGCCCAGCAUCCAAUUACGAUGGAGGACGUGAACGGCAGGGCCUUAGAAAGACACAAAGCUUCCGUGCUUAUGGAGUACAAGGACCAUUCGCAUUCGAGCAUGAGUAAACCUCUCAGUGCUUGUCUGAUGAACGGGAAGAUGCAGAAUGGAGAUUCUGGAGGUGGGGUUGGGGUUGGGGUUGGGGCGGGAGCUGGAUCUGGGUCAAAGGGACCCAUGGUCAGCUGUGGCGCAGAGGGAAUGGGUAGAAGCGCUGGAAGCUCUGCAAGCGUGCAACCCAGGCAUAUGGGCAACGGCAACACUGGACGAUGCACUAAGGAAGCAGCGAGUGGGGAGAUGAGAAUCAGCGAACAACCUCCGUCAGACUGUCUGGAGAGGAGCCAGGCACUGCACCAGUCCUUGACCUACUCCGUGCCUCCUCCUUUACCUAUGGGUUCGGCCGCUGGUGGUGGACAUCCGCAUCCGGGGGGCUUCCACUGUUUACAGCUCCACCCAAGCCAUCCGCAUCAUCCACAUCACACACAUCAUCACCACCCACAUCAUCACAGCCACCACUCGCACCAUCACCCAGACUUCUUCUGUCCUCCUCCGCCUGCCCCCGUGGUCAACCCUUCCUUACAUGAUAAAGGAAGUGGUGUCCAAAGAGACCCCAAAGUGACCGGACCUACAUUUGUGCCAUCUGUGGGCCACUUGGGCGAGAAAGUUGGAGCUGGACCCUUCCAGCUGGGACACCCUGAGUGUCAGGGAAGUGGUUCCAAGGACAAGGCCAUGGAGAAGGCAAGUGGGGGUGGUGGAGGUCAUGCUGGGAACUGGCAUCGGAAACAGCAGGAGCAACAGCAGCAGCAGCAACAGCAACCACCACCCCAGAAGCAACAUCCCUACAGAAAAGCAGAAAAGGCUCCAGACUGGAUGCACAACAAUCAUCAUCAUCUGCAGCAACAGCAGCAACAGCAACAACAACAGCAGAGCCAUGCCCAGCAGCAUCAGGCAGUGCGCUCCCGAAGUGCAGACUGCAUCAACAGCAUGGACUCUACAGACGUCUACAGACCUGCUCCGGUCCAGGAACCCAAAUCCGGUCAUCCGUUGACUCACCCCAAUGGUGUCAACCCUCAGUCCUAUAGAGACUGUUCACACACUGGACCUCCCCCCAACUCGUCACCUCUCGCUGGGAAGACCAUGGCCCAGCAGGGGCCGGGUGGGGGUGCGAGUUGCUCGAUGCAACGCGAUGGCCAGAAAGUAGCCCGCAUUCGCCACCAGCAGCACGGCAGGGCAGGUUCGGACGCUUCCUCGACAGACCUGAACCAAGGCAAUGGCAAUCAAGAGAUGAAGCGAAAGAUGGAGAUGUCUCCAUAUGGUUAUGGUGGUAACAGUGGGCAACACCAUUCACAUCAGCAACCUCCUGUACCACCCUGGGUCAUGCACCCUCAUCAUGUCUACCCAGAGGAGGACCAGCGCAAGGCUUACAUGGAAUCUAUCGGUGGUCCUGCCAAUGGAAGGCAGCAGCCUCAACCUCAGCCUCAACAGCAGCAGCAACCGCAGCACCAGUCAGCAGGAAUGGGACCUCCGGGACCUCCGGGCCCUCCUCUACCAGCCCAUCCUGCUCCUGCACAGACCCAGCAAGAGUCUCUGGGCCCUCAAGGGGAGGGUAGUGCCAUGAAGAACCUUCUCAAAUACAGCAACCAGCAGCAGCCUCUCCUCCUGUCCCAGAAGAGCCCUUUUGGAGGGUUGGGAAGUCUCAAAACGGCACACAACAACAACACGAACUGCACCUUGCAGGCAGGCAAACCCACCCUUCCGUCCAGGAAAGGCCCAACCAAUGAGAGUGAGCGGCCUGACUGUGGUGGACGGAGCAGGGAUAUCGGGGAAGCACCUCAUGUGGAGGGCGAAGUUCGGCAGCCUCCUGUCGGAAUAGCGGUUGCGGUGGCACGACAGAGAGACCCGACCUGCCGCCCGCCAGACAACCACCCGAGCAGUCGCCAGGGACGAGUCCACUCAGCUAUGAAAGGUGCUCCACGGUCCAUGUAUCCUCCAGAAUCACCUGGAGAGGAGGAGAGGAAGAGGAUGAGUGGAGAGCACAUCGGUCACCCAUGUCUGGACAGAGAGCGAGACACAUUUAUCAGGGAUAACAAGGAAAGGGUCGAAUUCGCUCGGAUCCAUCCCUCCAACAGUUGCCAUGGUGACCUCCCAUCUCAUAUCAUGGUGCCGGGUGGCAAUUCUCUGCAGUCGGGCCAAUUAGGGGACCCGGCAGCACACGCCCAUUCCGCUCACCACCAUUGGAUGCCACGCACUGGGAGCCCCUCCCUCUGGAUGACGGGCCAUUCCUACGGCAUCAGCCACACUGCCCUCCACCAGAAUCUACCCCCAGGCUUCUCAGCAGCCAUGCCUGCCCCCCUCCAGCCCGUACUGCCCCUGCCCCAGGACCCUUCUGCCCAGCUGGUGGUGCUGCCCAGUGAACCUGCCUCCCACCCGGCAACUCAUCACUUAGAUGUGAUGGAGCAGCCCGGACUGUGGCCCCCGGUGUACAGGGCCCGAGGGCCUCCCUCCCACAUGCAGCAUCCCGCUGUGUACUCCCGCUCUCAGUUUCUACGGCAACAGGAGCUGUACGCUCUCCAGCAGCAUCAGCAGCUGCAGCAGCAGCAGCAGCAUCCCGGCCAUCAGCAACCACCUCAAACACCACAGCAACACCGGGGAGCGCCGCACAGCGCCGAGCUGCAGCACAGAAACUCUCACAGCCAGAUGCAGAAGAAGUCGGAGGAGCAGAGCAUGGAGCUGGAGGACAUCCUGUCCGAGCCCCGGACCCCCAAACCUGCCAAGUCUUACGCCUACGGCCCGGCGCCCCAGGCCUCGCCGCCCCCCCGGGCCUCCGCCCUGCACCUGUCGCCCUGCUGCCAGUCGCCCUGCAUUCACCCUCACCCUAAAAGCACCGCCUCCACCCCCUGUCCUGCUGCCAGUCCUGCUGCCACUGCUGCCCGAUCUCCCGCCAUCAGCCCGGCGCCGCCGCAGCUGCCCAAAGCAGCCGAGUCCCAGGACAAGAGGGCCGAGGGUCAGCCGCCGCAGGACUACCCUCAGACCAUGGAGCCAGAUCUCCCACCUGAAUACACCUAUCCCGCCAUCACCAUGGGAUACAGAGGAGGGCCCUCCCCUCAGGACGUACGAUUGGCUGAGCCGGCUGAGUUGGAAACCAUUCCUGUGGAACCUGUGGAGCAUGCCCCGCCCCCUCUCUCCAGCCUGGGGGAGGAGCUUGGGGAGUGCCAUGCGAUCGUAAGACCCAUUACCGAAUCCCAGCUGCCAAUGGAGGAAAAGAGGGAGGAGGAUCUGGCGGACGCAGGGCAGGGCGCGGGCAUGUUGGCGCCAACUGGGCAACCGGAUCCGGUGGACGGCGUGAGCUGCUGUGUGCCCGCUGGAGACGAGGUUGAGGAGGGUGAUGAUGAUGAAGAUGAUGCCAUGCAAGUCCAGGAUCAGGCCACGAUGCUCCUCUGCCCGCCUGCUGAAGCCUCGAUCUUCGAGGUGGCACCGUGUCCAAUCGCUCCAAUCGAGAAACAGGAAACUCAAAGGGACGAAUGCAUCAUGUCCUCACAGGAGGACGUGAGCGAGGUCCUUCCAGAGCAGGACAACGAUCAAGGGGUUCCUGAGGUUCCCGAGGUGGACGCUCAGAAUGUUCCAGAUCCAGAACGUCCAUGUGUUCCAGAUCUUUCAGCUGAACUCCAGACUGAAGUGGUUCAACCACUUGAAGAAACAGCAACGGCGAAAGUUCGAGAAAAAGAAGAUCAAGAAGACGACAAAGACGUCAAAAUCCUGUCCUCUUGUCCCUCUCCUGUCCAUGCCACCUCAUGCCCACAGCCCCUCGUGCCAAGCUACUGGAGUCUAGAGCUUCUGAUCGCUGCAGCUUUCUGUGGAGACUGUCCUCCACCUUCUCCACCACCUUCCACGCCUCCUCAGGACUGCAGCGCUCAGCUCCACCCCAGCACUCACGGCAUGGAGCUCCUGAGCGAAGUCGCCGACCUGGAGCUCCAGCACCAUCGCCACAGUGCUGCUAAUAGUGAAGGAGAAGAGCAGUUAAUUUUUGAUCUCCAGAGUCUGGCUACGCUGGCAGCUGCCCGGGCACUGGAGUUUGGUGCCAAGGCGAACAGCCUGGCAGAAUCUGAGAAGCAGAACCCGGGCAGGAGGAUCCUCAACCUGCGCCGGAAAUGCACCUGGACCCCUCGCCACGAGCCGGUGUGCCCGGUGAAGGGGUCUAUGGAAGCGAUGGACGGGCAGGAGCUGGCAAUGCGGGUGAGGCUGGCGGAGCUGCAGAGACGGUAUAAAGAGAAGCAGAAGGAACUCGCCAAGCUGCAGAGGAAGCAUGACCACCAAAAAGAGGAAACUCCUCGUAGUCCUGCUCGCCGGGGUCCUGGACGACCCCGCAAACGCAAAUCCACCCCAGGCCUGGGUCCGGCCGCCCCCCCAGAGACACAGAAGAAAGUCAAGUCUGUGGGGGCGGUGUUGAGCCUGCUGGUGGACGAGUCAGGAGGAGGAAGAGGAGGAGGAGGAAGUGGCGAUUCGGCGAAGAAGAGGAAGCUGUCAAACCGAGGCUUCAGCCGCCUCGGAGCCGCUCAGAUGAAGAUGCAGUGUUGUCAGAAGAGCAGUCUUCACGAGCAUCACGUGGAACAGCUGAAGCCCAAAACCUCCACCAACAGGACGGGCAUCCGACACCGAGACGCCUCAGCCUGUAGCUCCGCCCCCUCUCACCUGUACCUGCCCCAGAGGAGCCCGAAAGCAGAGUCCAGGCUUCCCAACGAGUCGGAGGGCCAGAGCGACACAGCAGGCAGUGGGGACAGUGCGGUGCAGGACAGCUGGAAGGGACGAGGGGAAAUGACCAUCAGAAAAGGAAAGAGGAAAAGUGGGACGGUGUUAAACCGAGCGUCCACCCGCCUGCAGCCUCGGUCCAGGAUACUCCGAGCCAGAGGACAGGAAGUGACAGAGGACGGAGACACAUCAGCACUGGAGACAGAGUCCUCUGAACAAGAAGAGGAGGAAGACGAGGGCAGUGAAAACAGUGAUGAAGGACAAACUGCUAAAUCCCCCGCCUCCAGGGAGCUCCCAUCCAGCUCUGCUGUCAAAGACCCCUCCCCUUCCUCCGUCGUUAAACUGGAAGCCAAUCAGAAGGCAAAAAACAAGAGGGAGCGACAAGAACUUUACGGUUUGCAGCAUCACUCUGGAGCUGAAGGUGAGGUGAAGGUGAAGAAGAAGGCCCCCUGCAGGUCGGCCCCUGUAACCGCAUCCAAGCCCCCAGGGGUACGCAGGAGACCGGGUCGACCCCGACUACAGGAGAAGCCCUGGACCGGUCACUACCACAAACCCCCCGGCCUCCUCUCCUUCACCACCACCAGCGAACGACUGAGGAGAGCCACUCGAAAGAGCUCCAUACUACGAGGAGCCGUGAGCAAGAGGAAAAGUUGGUCAGGUGUGGCUCAGUCUUCCCAGAGUGACGAUAAUGACGGCAAAAGAAGAACCAGAUUCAGACAGUCUAAAGGGCGGGCCGUCAGUCGUCUGCUGGAAAGCUUUGCAGCUGAUGAAGGUUUCCGGCUGGGUGAAGACAGCAGCUUCUCUGAUGAGGAUGAGGAGGGAAACUCUUCCUCACGCUCCAGAACUCCUCCAGCUCCUCCAAACUGUGUUCUGAGUAAAGAUCAGCUGACGGAUGGGCUCCGGGUUCUGAUCUGUAAAGAGGACGAGCUGCUGUACGCCGCCCGAGUCAGAACUGUAGAUGUGCCGGAUAUAUACAGUAUUGUUAUUGAUGGAGAGAGAGGAAACCGCCCCAGGAUUUACUCCCUGGAGCAGCUCCUGCAGGAAGCGGUUUUGGAGGUGCGUCCUGAAACAGAGGCAGUUCUAACUGAAGGAACGCGAGUGUGCGCCUACUGGAGCGAGCGUUCACGAUGCCUGUACCCGGGAUACGUCCGGAGAGGUGGCGCUAGUGAUGAGUGUAAGCCGGGUGGGGUGAUGGUGGAGUUUGAUGAUGGAGAUCGGGGACGCAUCUCUCUGCACAACAUCCGCUUCCUUCCUCCUGGAUACCAGGUCCAGUGUGCUGAAUCAAGCCCGACUCCAGACUCCACUAAUCGCUCACUAUCAGACAAGAUGGGUUCAGCUCACGAUGGAAAAAACUCACAGAUCAAUAAAUCCUCUGAGAAAACUCCCAGCACUGAGGACGCCAAAGCCCUGGAGAAACCAGUGAGACGACCAGGGCGACCCAAAGGUUCAGGGCUGAAGAGGUUCAUCUCAGACGGCGCUGCCAAGAACUCAACAUCUCCACUUACUUGGCCAUCGGUGGACGUGCCUCGAAAAAGGGCGCCUGUCAAUCUGUUCCAGCUUAACGGCUCCGCCCCCAAGAAGGCCUUGAGGAACAGAGAGGCGGCCAUGUUUCCCCAUCCUCCGGUCUCCAUGACGACCCCGGCCAAAGGCAUCUUCAGCAGCAGCUCCUUCGAGGUGGACUCCUUCAGCAGCAUCGCCAACGGCUACUCGUCCUUCUGCAGCCAGACCCUCCCUUCUACAGGGAUGCCUCUAGGGGGCAGGAGCAGUCCGUACGGGGGCAGGAGACGCUCAGAGGACCCUGAUGUUCCUCGCGGGAGAAAAAACGAAUUCCUGAUCAAGCUGGACCACGAGGGCGUGACAUCUCCGAAGAACAAGAGCAGCAAGGCUCUGCUGCUGCUGGGAGGUUCUGGGUUUGGUCCGAAAGGUUUAGGUAGUGCUCCACCCAGAUCUGAAGCCUAUUCCCACCCAGUCCUGCUGGUGAAGGACAGUAGAAAGGGUGAUAGCUCGAGGGCAGAACUUCUUCCAAUCCAGAGAAAGCCCUCCUCGUCGUCAUCGUCUCUGCGGAUGGGCGAAUACGGAGAUCUCGGGCUCAGUUGUCACAGGGACUGCCAUAGCUCAUACUCGGGCAUGGAUGAGGAAGAGGACGAGGAAGAAGAGGAUCGCAGGAGACGUGGAGGUGGAACGACGAUGCUUCCCUCGGCUUCAGGCAGCAUUAGGACAGCCGAUCGCUUCCUUUCUCGACUUUCCGUCUCCUCGUCCUCCUCCGGAUCAUCCAGCUCUUCCAGUUCUGGUUCUCUUUCCAGCUCCAGCCUCUGCUCCUCAGACAACGACUCCUCCUACAGUUCUGAGGACGAGGAGAGCUCCACCCUCCUCCUGCAGAGCUGCCUAACCCCCCAUCGCUCCAUCCUUCAGCCCCCAAACCCCAAACCCCCCUCCGGACCUUCUCAGCACACAUUCGUGGCCAAAGCUGUGGCCUUGCCCAAUGCCAAAAGUGCAAAUGCCAACCACAGCGCUGGCAGCAAGCCUCUAAAGAGGAAGGAGUGCACCGGUUCUCCAUCCAAACCCUCCAAGGACCUGGUCAAGAGGCAGAAGAUGCUGCCCGACCAGAGCAGACCCAAAGCGUCAUCAUCCUUCCUACCGGCAAGGCAACUGUGGAGAUGGUCCGGGAGCCCCACCCAGAGACGUGGGCUGAAGGGAAAAGCUCGUAAGCUCUUCUAUAAGGCGGUGGUGCGAGGCAGGGACAUGGUGCGGGUGGGGGACUGCGCCGUCUUCCUGUCCACAGGCCGUCCUCAGCUUCCCUACGUCGGCCGAAUCGAGAGUUUCUGGGAGUCCUGGAGCAGCAGCAUGGUCGUCAAGGUCAAGUGGUUCUACCAUCCUGAGGAAACCAAACUGGGCAAGAGUCACCGAGACGGCAAGCAUGCCCUGUACCAGUCGUGCCAUGAAGACGAGAACGAUGUGCAGACAAUCUCUCAUAAGUGCCAGGUGGUGAGCCGGGAGGAAUACGAGCGAGUGAGCAGGAACAGGAAGCCCGGCAGCUGCCUGCAGGACCUCUACUACCUGGCAGGAACCUACGACCCCACCAGCGGGCAGCUGCUGACUGCGGACGGGGUCUCCAUUCACUGCUAGCCUGCUAGCGCUGGUUCCUGGAUACUGCUAAUGAGGCUACUGGUCAUGUGGUCUGUCUUCUUGGUCAAGGUGUCCUUAAGCAUUUGGCAGAAGACUAUCCUGGAGCAAGAUGGGGGACGUGGAUCACCAAGGAUCAAAGCUGGGAUUAUAAUUCUGAUUCAAAAAGGAGCUGGAGUAUAGUGAGCUGGGAUAUUAACAAGAGCAAGCCAAGCAGCUUACAGUCUCCUAGGGGAGUUCCUGGUCUCCCAGGCAAGUUCCUGGACUACCAGACGAGUUUCUGGUCCCCCAGAUGAGUUUCUGUUCUCCCUGGCGAUUUUCUGGUCUCCCUGGCGAGUUCCUGGACUACCAGGCGAGUUUCUGGUCUCCCAGGCGAGUUUCUGGUCUCCCAGGAGAGUUCCUGGUCUCCCAGGCGAGGUGCUCGCCCCCCAGGCGAGUUUCUGGCUUCAUCUGCGUGGUGCUCAUCUCCCAAGAAAGGUCCUGGUCUCCCUGGCAUGUUCCUGGACUACCAGGAGAGUUUCUGGUCCCCCAGGCGAGUUGCUGGUCUCCGAUCAAGGUCAAGAUUCUGGACUUCCGAAAACAAACUGUCCCUGUUGUCCAGCUUGUUUGCGGAAGGAGGAAAGGAAUAAAAGCGUCCUUGUUCUCACAAAUGUCGUCUUACAACUGAACUUUCCAAGAACCUGCGUUGUGUUUAAGGUCACCAAAGCGAAACUCUGUUUGUUGGUGGGUUUGGAGAAGACGGCUGUGGAUUGGUGGAUUCCACAGUCGAGAAACUGAAACUGAGACAAAGAUGGCGUGGCUCCGCCGCGCUACCGUCACGAUUCCAGGGAUAUUUAAGUACAUAAUAGAUGAUUUAAGUAUAUUAAGUUUGCGUAUAUAUAUAUAUAUAUAUAUAUAUAUAUAUAUAUAUAUAUAUAUAUAUAUAUAUAUAUAUAAAUGUGUAUAUAUGAGGAUUUAUUUCCUACCAAGCCAUACACUUCAGUACCUCUUGCCUGUCUUCUUAUUCAGGUGUAUAGUGUACAGGUCGCUCGCGUGAUUAUCCGAUUCUUUUUUUUUUUUUUGGUCCUUCUUUUCUGUCGUCGUUGUCUAUAUUGUACAUACGGAAAAAGUUAUUUUAUACGCGUGAUGUACAGAACAUGCGAGGCUUAUCGUCCCAUGCUUUGACUGAUUUAUUUUUCUACGAGCGAAUUAAAAAAAUUAAAAAAUUAAAGUUAAAACAGGAGAGAUACGGGAGGGGAGAUGAACUGAACAUGUUAGCGUUGCACUGCACAAAACCUGCUGAGACACAGAGAGAGAGAAUAGAGGCUGUAGAGAGAUGUAAGGGCAGCACUCUGGGCAUUUAUUGUACUGUAUGUGUGUGUUUAUUUGUUUAUUUGUUUGUUUAUUUGUUUAUUUUAUUGUUAUGCCUUUUCUUCCCCAAGAAAUUCCAAAAAAGUUCAUAUUAAAUAACUAUUAAAGGUGAUUUAGGGAGGAAAGAUAAGAAAAUGAAUUAGAGAGACUGGGUAUAAAAUACCUGAGCAACAUGGAAAGUGUAUUGAAAUCAGAAAUAUAUACAUAAAUAUACAGUAUAUAUAUAUAUAUAUAUAUAUAUUCAUAUGUAUAUACAGCUCUGGAAGUUGAAACAACAUUUCUCUGAUUUUACUAUUUAUAGGUUUAUGUUUGAGUAAAAUGAACAUUGUUGUUUUGUUCUAUAAACUACAAACAACAUUUCUCCCAAAUUACAAAUAAACCUAUUUAAAUAUUGUCAUUGAGAGAAUUUAUUUGCAGAAAAUGAGAAAAACAAGAAAUGGCUGAAAUAGCAAAGAAAACAAGUUCAUAUUCAUAAAGUUUUAAGAGUUCAGAAAUAAUCAAUAUUUGGUGGAAUAAUCCUGGUUUUUAAUCACAGUUUUUUUUUCAUGCAUCUUGGCAUCAUGUUCUCCUCCACCAGUCUUACACACUGCUUUUGGAUAACUUUAUGCUGCUUUACUCCUGGUGCAAAAAUUCAAGCAGUUCAGUUUGGUGGUUUGAUGGUUUGUGAUCAUCCAUCUUCCUCAUCAUUUUUAAGUGCUCUCUUAUUUUAUUCCAGAGCUGUAAAUAUAUAUAAAUAUAUAUACUGUAUAAUAAACAAAUCUACUUGUAUUUUAAGGUCUUGCACUGCUUAUAUUCCUUUUUUUAACAUUGUUCUACUGUCCUCCCAUCAGCCAAUGGAACCCCAAUGGAACCAUUGGCUACUUCCUGUUGAUGACCGAGGCACUGACUAACUAAAGAAACGUCGCUAUGCUAUGCUAAGCUAUGCUGCGCUAAGCUACGCUACGUUAGCUAUACUACGCUACGCUAAGCACAGCAAGAGCUCGUAGAGAUGCUCCUGUUUAGCGAGGUGCUAGUUUGUAGUCUUUAGGGACAAUCACGUUCACCAGAGGCUCUCACAAUCACGACGUCCCAACGUUCACUUUUUCUUUCGUGCCAAAAAAAAGAACCAACCAUCUCGUUGUUCUGAUUAUGCAAUCUUCACUGUGUUCUACUAUUUUGAGUAUUAUUGUUGUUAUUGUUAUUUGUGUUAUUUUUAUUUUUUUUAAUCAUGUAUUUAUUGUCAGUGUUGCUGUUUCAUCCCGAAAAACCAACAGAUUAUCGAGUGAUAAAAUGAUUCAAAUGUGACGCCGCUCGUUUUGUUGGUUGGACCCGAAUACAGGGGGCGCUAUUUAGAGAAUGAGGAACACUGGAACACACAGGUGCGCUGGUUUACCUGUAAACUGGUUUACCUGUAUACCUGUAUGAUUUGUGCCUUUGAAGUACAGUUACACUGCAUUUACACUGAUCCACCGUUUCAACACAACAUAAUCCCAUUCUAGAAAAAAAAGGCAAAAAUUUAUAUUAUUGUCACUUUAAGACCAUAUAUUGUGACUAAAAUAGUAAUAAUAUAAUAUAUGUAAUUAUAUAAAUGAUUAUGAAAUUACAUCCUUUUAAAAAUCCCAAAUUAUUGCAAAAAUUAUUGAUGCCAACAUGAUCAACUGAUGAUCUAUCCAAUCAGAAAAUAGCUGGUGCCUGAGGACUGUGAGUUUGAAUCCCAGGUCAUACUGCUUCUCCAUCAGCAGCCAGAGUCUGAGAGAGAGAGAGAGAGAGAGAGAGAGAGAGAGAGAGAGAGUACAGUAGAUCAUGAUGCUGUUUCUCCAUCAGCAGCCAGAGUCUGAGAGAGAGAGAGAGUACAGUAGGUCAUGCUGCUGUUUCUCCAUCAGCAGCCAGAGUCUGAGAGAGAGAGAGAGAGAGAGAGAGAGAGCUUCUUAAAUUGGGUAGAAAAUUGUCUAAAAUUAGAAAUAUAAAAGCCAAAUGAGUGAUUUUAUCAGUUAAAUCAGUUUUUAUUUUUUUUAGCAAGGCAAGGCAAGUUUAUUUAAAAAUGCACCUUUUAUAUACAACGGUCAUUCAAAGUGCUUUACAAACUAGAAAAUACAAAUAGAAGUCAAAUAAAAAAAAUAAUAAAGCACAAAUUAAACAUGAUUAAAACAAUAUAUUUAAAAGAAGGACAAUUAACAAAAUAAAUUAGAAUCAAAGUUAUUUUAGCAGUUAUUUUCACUCAUAGAAGACCAAGCCCCUGUCGGUUUGAAUGGGGAGAGAGAACAAAAUACUGAAAACAAAACGUCAGAUUAACAUAUAUAAACAACAUAUUUUAAAACAUAUUUCACAUCGCUGAUAAAAUCUGUAGCAGUUUGUAGUGUUUGCAUAAAUAAUGGAGAAAAAUUGUAUUUUUCUGCUUUUCCUGGCUGCUGCACUUGCGCAGAUCUCCAACACCUCCUUUACUCUCGGGAAAACCAGCAAGCUGAUUGGCUCUUUCUGUUAAACGGACGUUAUGAUUGGUGUUCUCAUACUGAAGUAUCAUAAUCACUGUUGGUGAACUGGACCGGCGUAAAUGCAGCCUUAGACCUUCGUCUUCUGGCCUCCAUUAAUGAAUUCUGUGGCAUCAUUCACUGAUCUGUCCCCCACUCGUCCUCCUGUCCUUACUGUCCUCACUGUCCUUAAUGUCCUUUACUGCUUCACAAGAAAAAACGUAAAUAGCGACGCGAGCUCGGCUUCAAACGUCUGCAAGCCUCAGAUCUUAAACUGAAGAUCUUCAAACUGCAGGGUUCAUAUGAUCAUUAAAAACUUCGAAAAAAUCAUGGAAUUUGGAAUUAGCAUUAAUAGCAUUUAUUUCCAAGCCUGGAUACGUUUUGGAAAAUAAAAAUACACAGAAAUUUUUGGAAAAAUCAUGGAAAUCUGUUUUACAAAACUUUGUGUUUCAGUUUAUCGAUGGAGAAAAUCUAUUUUGACCUAAAAAAAUACGUAAUUUAGCCCUUAAACAAUGAAGCUCUCAGGAUCUGACCCACAUAUGACCCUGCUAUAAUCAUUCGAUUGUAGUUUUAGUUGAUUUUUGGUUUUAUUGUCCAUGUCUGCACUGAUGUUUUAAAAAUCAUAUGGUCAUUAAAAUUUAAAGGUUAAAAAGUGGAUGAACCUGAAAUUGGCUACAUUUUCUAAACUAAGAUCAAAGUGAUUAAGGAAAUAUAUUGAAAUGUGAUGCUCUGAAUGAUCUGAUGGGUUAUUUAUAGAUCUCUGUAUGUGUAUAUUUUCACAUUUUUGCCUUUUUUUAUCUUAUUUUUCUGGUAAUUACAGAGGAAGGCACUGAAUCGAGUAAAUGAAUGUAGUUUAUAGUAUAAAGAGAAGAAGCUCCAGCAUCCAGAGCGAGUUUCUAAACUAAAUCUAAACUAAAAUAAAAAACGCUAAAAUAUAAAAGCGUAAACUUGAUUACGGUUCUUUAUAAAGAACAGAAAUUAGAGAUGUUUAAAUUCGGAUGUAAUUUAAUUAUUUAAGAUUUAAGUCGCUUGCCCGCGGAGAAAGUGCAAUACUACUUUGAUUCUUUAGCGUUUUUUUAACGUUUUUAGUAGAUUUGAAUGGCGUACAGCGGAAAGUGGUGCUUUGAGUCCCUAAAAAAGGACAUACAAGGAAAAAACGCAUGGGUUUUACUACAGCAGGUAAAAAACGAAUAAUACUAAUGUUUACGAAGUUUCCUGCGAAGAUGCUUUGGAAGUUUUUAAUUAAUUACAUUAACUCAAAUUAAUUGCCUAGCAUAAUUAUCUUGAAAGUAUUUAUCUCUAAGUAUCUUAAUUUCAAUUACAUGUUCAGAAAAACCAAAAUUAACCAAAAAUGUAUCGUCUCAGAAUAUUAAUAUAUAUAUAUAUAUAUAUAUAUAUAAUUUGGUAUCUCAUCAUGAAUUUGAAAUAUUAAUUUCUGUUUUCUCAGAAUUCAUUUGAAAAAAUAAAUCUAUUGGUAUAAUGUAAAAAUUUCCAGGUGAAACAGGUAAAAAACUAAUAAUACUGACCUAUAAACUGAUUCAGACAAGAGUAUCUAAUGUACAAAAAAGAUUUUUAGGGAAAACUUUUUUUUUUGGUCAACUCAACUGUCUAAGACAAAAUAUAUCUAUAUCUAAAAGAAAUAAAAUCAUUAUUUUUAAAUAUUAUUUAUUUAGAAAUAUGAAUAAAUUACAGUAUCUCAUCACAAUUUAAAAAUAUAAUUAACCAAAAAUUAAUUAUCUCAGAAUUGGUUUUAAAAAAUAAUAAUUUUGAUAUAAUAUGCCUGGUCAAAUUAGAGAUAAUUAUCUUAAGAUAAUUUUAUUAAAACCUGUGUAUUUUCUCCAGUAUGUAUUUUUUCAGGGUUUGGUAAAAGGCUGGUUUCGGGUGGUUUGGAAACGAUAAGGGAAGACGCAGGAACGUCUGCCCUAUAAAAAAUAAAUAAAUAAAUAAAACAGGAAAAGAUUUCAGACAGGAAGUGGAUAUUCUGCCUCUCGUCGUGUUUCUCUGUUAGAACUGAGAUGUUUAAAUAUCCAUAAUGAAAAAUACGUUCAGUAAUUCUUAAUGGUUGUUGAGUUUUUGUUUUGUUUUGUUUCGUUGUUGUAAAAACUGUAAAUGUGUAAAAAGUUCUGCUUUUGGGGUAAAAAAACAUUUUACUAAAGAAAACUUUAUGAGUAUCGAACUGUAAACGUGAUUUAGUAUUAAGAUUUUUUUAUAGAGGGCCUACGAAUAAAUAUCACGCUCAAAGAUCUGGUGUGCACUUGAUGUGA